GGCUGGUUGGCGCAAUGGUAGCGCGUGCCCCUCCUAAGGGCAAGGUUGCGGGUUCGGUAAGCUGCUUCUGUGU